UACGAAGGGGGCUAGCGUUGUUCGGAAUUACUGGGCGUAAAGCGCACGUAGGCGGGUCGUUAAGUUAGAGGUGAAAUCCCGGGGCUCAACCCCGGAACUGCCUUUGAUACUGGCGAUCUAGAGGUCGAGAGAGGUGAGUGGAAUUCCGAGUGUAGAGGUGAAAUUCGUAGAUAUUCGGAAGAACACCAGUGGCGAAGGCGGCUCACUGGCUCGAUACUGACGCUGAGGUGCGAAAGCGUGGGGAGCAAACAGG
rnacentral:rRNA from 1 species